GUAGUCCACGCUGUAAACGAUGGGCACUCGAUUUGGUGGGUAUUGACCCCUGCCGAGUCUGAGCUAACGCGAUAAGUGCCCCGCCUGGGAAGUACGGUCGCAAGACUAAAACUCAAAGGAAUUGACGGGGGCCCGCACAAGCGGUGGAUCAUGUGGUUUAAUUCGAAGCAACGCGAAGAACCUUACCUGGGUUUGACAUCCUCUGACAUCCGUAGAGAUACGGCUUUUGUAGCAAUACAACAGAGAGACAGGUGCUGCAUGGCUGUCGUCAGCUCGUGUGGUGACAUGUUGGGUUAAGUCCCGCAACGAGCGCAACCCUUGUCUUUAGUUGCCAGCAUUCAGUUGGGCACUCUAAAGAGACUGCCGUGGUUAACACGGA
rnacentral:rRNA from 1 species